rnacentral:rRNA from 1 species
ACGAAGGUCCCAAGCGUUGUUCGGAUUUACUGGGCGUAAAGCGUCUGUAGGCGGUAGGGUAAGUCAGAUGUGAAAUCCCGGAGCUCAACUCCGGAACUGCAUCCGAUACUGCCUUACUAGAGGGUCGGAGGGGAGUCUGGAAUUCUCGGUGUAGCAGUGAAAUGCGUAGAUAUCGAGAGGAACACUAGUGGCGAAGGCGAGACUCUGGACGACACCUGACGCUGAGAGACGAAGGCCAGGGUAGCGAAAAGG